CUCAAACUCAGUGGCAAUUGUGCCUCAGUUUCUGGAGUGCUGGGAUUACAGGGGAUCAAACUCAGGAGCAGAACCACUGAGCUAAAUCCCCAGCCCCUGGCCGCAAAUUUUUAAUACCUCAGGCCGCAGCUUUCAUGCAGCAGGGAUUACAGAAUAAUGCAGAAUUGAAGAUAAAAGUGUAGCUGGACUGUGGCCCCAACUAAGCUGGAGGCUAAGGCAAGAGGAUCUUUGGGCUCCAGGAAUGCAAGGCCAAUCUAGACCACAUGGAGUCACUAUCUCGUAAAAAAGUGCUGAGGACUGAACCCAGGGUUCUGUAAAGAAGUGCUCCAUCACUGAACUAACUGUAUCCUCAUUUUCAAGAGUUUUACUUUGAUUCAUGGUUCCAGACCAACUGGCCCAAUCUGGGGUCCUUUUCUGAGAAAGGUCACCCGUUAAGAUGGUACAGAGCAAACAGUACAGGGGUAUUUGCUCUACUCAUUUCAUGGAUGUAGGGAAUGCAAGCCAAAGAUGAAAUCAAAAGCUGAAGUGACAUCAAGAUUUCAUUUCUG
rnacentral:lncRNA from 1 species